AGAGGGUGCAAGCGUUAGUCGGAUUUACUGGGCGUAAAGCGCGCGUAGGUGGCCAAUUAAGUCAAAUGUGAAAUCCCCGAGCUUAACUUGGGAAUUGCAUUCGAUACUGGUUGGCUAGAGUAUGGGAGAGGAUGGUAGAAUUCCAGGUGUAGCGGUGAAAUGCGUAGAGAUCUGGAGGAAUACCGAUGGCGAAGGCAGCCAUCUGGCCUAAUACUGACACUGAGGUGCGAAAGCAUGGGGAGCAAACAGGAUUAGAUACCCUGGUAGUCCAUGCCGUAAACGAUGUCUACUAGCCGUUGGGGCCUUUGAGGCUUUAGUGGCGCANCUAACGCGAUAAGUAGACCGCCUGGGGAGU
rnacentral:rRNA from 1 species